GAACAUGCCAUUCAGAUCCCUGCUGCCAAUGCAGUCAGGUGGGCCACUCCCCUGAUGGCCGCAGGUUGGGCCCAGCACAGUCCCAAGACCCUCUGGUGAAGCCUGGAGUCAUUUCCCUGCUGGCCCCAGAGACGUCACACAUUCCAGAACAAGGCAGAUCCUAAGAAAUAGGAGCUAUUGUUUGCCGGUGCAUCAUCUCAUAGCUUCCCAUCCAGUCUCCUUGGUGACACCAUGUUGGCAGGAAUGGCAAAGGCGGGGUGGGUCCGAGCACCCUCUACAUGCCUGCAGGGCCUCCGCCCGCCUCCCACCACCUUGCUUGCUCAGAGCAUGCCCCUCAGUUCCUCUGCUUGGACCCUCAUCGAAGUUCCUUGUCCCAUCUCUGCGGAGGAGGAAACUCAGUACUUUAUAGGCUGGAAAUUAAAAAACCAAGAUACCAGCUGGAAUAUACUCACGCAAGGGGAACCGUGAGAGAAGAGAUCAUCCUGGCCCAUUUGGUGGGCUGAAUGGAGUGACCUGUGCUAGGAACCCCCUCGGCACCUCGGGGGUCUCUUCAGACUGAGAGCGGCAUCCUGACAGGACAAACCCACACCUGGGAGGUGAAACACUGAUCUCAGGUCGCACCGACUCACACGGCAACACUCAUUCAUCACCCUGUGAGCUGAUUUCAGGGCACCACUUACGGAUCUCAGAGUCUAGUUCCAGACCCUUCAACCCAACGUUCCCAUGGGGGAGGGCUCUCUAGGAGCCACGCCUGUCCCGGUUGCCAGACGCAUUUGGCAGACAGAGUACCUACAAUUCCACUGUUGUUACCGAGGCGAAUAAGAAUUUAUUGAUCCUGGCAGCUUUGACAGUCUCAAGAGUCCGGCAAGCUCUGAAUGUCACCUCUUCCGGGAAGCAGACCCUAAUUCCCAAGGCGCUGGCCUCCCCCUCCCCCACAGCCUCCUACCAUCACAGGGACACAAAACUGGAAGCACAGAGAUACGCUCAGGACUGGAGACUCAAGGACAGAGGGCUCCUGGGCAUGAAGCAUGGCGGAGCUCCCCGAGUGGGCAAAGCCAUCACCAGGCCCUGCCCAGCAUUACGCCUGCAGCGCCCUGCUUGGGCCCAGCCCUCCCUGCCCCCUGAGCACUGGACCUGUGUCCCUCUCGGAACAGCCCCUUCCUUCAGGUGAACACUUCCCCAUAACAGUCUCUGCCCGUGUGGUCACC